rnacentral:rRNA from 1 species
UACGUAGGGUGCAAGCGUUAAUCGGAAUUACUGGGCGUAAAGCGUGCGCAGGCGGUUUUGUAAGUCAGAUGUGAAAUCCCCGGGCUUAACCUGGGAACUGCGUUUGAAACUACAAGGAUAGAGUGUGACAGAGGGGGGUGGAAUUCCACGUGUAGCAGUGAAAUGCGUAGAGAUGUGGAGGAACACCGAUGGCGAAGGCAGCCCCCUGGGUUAACACUGACGCUCAGGCACGAAAGCGUGGGGAGCAAACAGG